rnacentral:rRNA from 1 species
GCGCGAAAACUUUACAAUGCGGGCAACCGUGAUAAGGAAACCCCGAGUGCCAGCACAGGCUGGCUGUCCACCAGUGUAAACAACUGGUGAAGAAAGGGCCGGGCAAGACCGGUGCCAGCCGCCGCGGUAAUACCGGCGGCUCGAGUGGUGGCCGCUUUUACUGGGCUUAAAGGGUCCGUAGCUGGAUUCACAAGUCCCUUGAGAAAUCUAUCGGCUUAACUGAUAGGCGUUCAGGGGAUACUGUGGUUCUAGGGACCGGGAGAGGUGAGAGGUACUGCCGGGGUAGGAGUGAAAUCCUGUAAUCCCGGUGGGACGACCUAUAGCGAAGGCAUCUCACCAGAACGGCUCCGACAGUGAGGGACGAAAGCUGGGGGAGCAAACCGGAUUAGAUACCCGGGUAGUCCCAGCUGUAAACGAUGCGCGUUAGGUGUGUCAGUGACCACGUGUCACUGAUGUGCCGAAGGGAAACCGUGAAACGCGCCGCCUGGGGAGUACGGUCGCAAGGCUGAAACUUAAAGGAAUUGGCGGGGGAGCACCACAAC